ACAUGACUUUGAUCUGCGUCCUCAUCUGGACUCUCCUCUGCUGCUGCUUCACAGAGUCCAGAGGACAGGUCACAGUGACUCAGCCUGCAGCAGUGAGCUCUGCUAUUGGAGGAACCGUCUCCAUCGGGUGUAGGACCAGUCAGAAUGUUCAUUAUAGCAGCCCAUACCACUGGUUAGCCUGGUACCAACAGAGAGAUGGAGAAGCUCCUAAACUCCUCAUUUAUCUUGCUAGCACUCGAGCAUCAGGGAUUCCAAGUCGUUUUACAGGCAGUGGAUCAAACUCUGACUUCACUCUGACCAUCAGUGGAGUCCAGGCUGAAGAUGCAGCAGUUUACUACUGUCAGAGUUAUCAUGCCAUCAACAGUAAAGCUGUGUUCACACAGUGAAAAAUGGUCGUACAAAAACCUCCCUCAGUCAGACUGAACAGAAACUGAACUGACUGCUGCAGCUGGAAGCU